rnacentral:rRNA from 1 species
UACGUAGGGGGCUAGCGUUGUCCGGAAUCAUUGGGCGUAAAGGGCGCGUAGGCGGCCAGCACAAGUCAGUUGUGAAAUCUCCGAGCUUAACUCGGAAAGGUCAACUGAUACUGUGCGGCUAGAGUGCAGAAGGGGCAACUGGAAUUCUUGGUGUAGCGGUGAAAUGCGUAGAUAUCAAGAGGAACACCUGCGGCGAAGGCGGGUUGCUGGGCUGACACUGACGCUGAGGCGCGAAAGCUAGGGGAGCGAACGGG